rnacentral:rRNA from 1 species
AACGAACGCUGGCGGCGUGCCUAACACAUGCAAGUCGAACGAGAAAGGGGCUUCGGCCCUGAGUAAAGUGGCGCACGGGUGAGGAACGCGUGGGUAAUCUGCCCUCGGGUCUGGAAUAACCUUCCGAAAGGUGGGCUAAUACCGGAUGACGUCCUCCUGCACAAGCAGGGGGUCCAAAGGUGUCUCCGGCUGCCGCCCAAGGAUGAUGCCGCGUACCAUUAGCUAGUUGGCAGGGUAACGGCCUACCAAGGCUACGAUGGUUAGCUGGUCCGGGAGGACGACCAGCCACACUGGAACUGAGACACGGUCCAGACUCCUACGGGAGGCAGCAGUGGGGAAUAUUGCGCAAUGGGGGAAACCCUGACGCAGCGACGCCGCGUGAGCGAUGAAGGCCUUCGGGUCGUAAAGCUCUGUCGGGUGGGAAGAACCCUUUCGGGGUUAACAGCCCCGGAAGUUGACGGUACCACCAAAGGAAGCACCGGCUAACUACGUGCCAGCCGCCGCCGUAAUAC